ACAGAGGGUGCGAGCGUUAAUCGGAAUUACUGGGCGUAAAGCGCGCGUAGGCGGACUAUUAAGUCAGAUGUGAAAUCUUUGGGCUCAACCCAAAAACUGCAUUUGAUACUGGUAGCCUAGAGUAUGGUAGAGGGAGGUGGAAUUUCCGGUGUAGCGGUGAAAUGCGUAGAUAUCGGAAGGAAUAUCAGUGGCGAAGGCGACCUCCUGGGCCAAUACUGACGCUGAGGUGCGAAAGCGUGGGGAGCAAACAGG
rnacentral:rRNA from 1 species